rnacentral:tRNA from 1 species
GAUCUCGUAGCUCAGCUGGAUAGAGCAUCUGCCUUCUAAGCAGAGGGCCACAGGUUCAAAUCCUGUCGAGAUCACCA